GGGCAGCAGGGGUAGCAAUACUCGCUGGCGACCGGCAAACGGGUGCGGAACACGUACGCAACYUUCCUUCAAGUGRGGAAUAGCCCRGGGAAACYYGGAUUAAUACCYCGUAAYAUUAUGRRGUGGCAUYACYUUAUAAUUAWAGCUCCGGCGCUUGAAGAUGGGCGUGCGCCUGAUUAGGUAGUUGGCGGGGUAACGGCCCACCAAGCCUACGAUCAGUAACUGGUGUGAGAGCACGACCAGUCACACGGGCACUGAGACACGGGCCCGACUCCUACGGGAGGCAGCAGUAAGGAAUAUUGGKCAAUGGACGCAAGUCUGACCMAGCCAUGCCGCGUGGAGGAUGAAGGUCCUCUGGAUUGUAAACUUCUUUUAUCUGGGAAGAAAUCCAUAUUUUCUAAUGUGGUUGACGGUACCAGAUGAAUAAGCACCGGCUAACUCCGUGCCAGCAGCCGCGGUAAUACGGAGGGUGCAAGCGUUAUCCGGAUUCACUGGGUUUAAAGGGUGCGUAGG
rnacentral:rRNA from 1 species